AGCUGAUCAUUGGGUGUAAAGCGUGCGCAGGCGGUUUUGUAAGACAGAGGUGAAAUCCCCGGGCUCAACCUGGGAACUGCCUUUGUGACUGCAAGGCUGGAGUGCGGCAGAGGGGGAUGGAAUUCCGCGUGUAGCAGUGAAAUGCGUAGAUAUGCGGAGGAACACCGAUGGCGAAGGCAAUCCCCUGGGCCUGCACUGACGCUCAUGCAUGAAAGCGUGGGGAGCAAACA
rnacentral:rRNA from 1 species